CAGAGAAUAGUUUAUAUAAAAUAUUAAUUUUGGGGAUUAAUGAAAAGGUAAUCUUUUCUCUGA
rnacentral:tRNA from 1 species